rnacentral:rRNA from 1 species
GUCCUUUAGAUUAUAAUUUAAGGUCAGAUCUGCCCACUGAAUUUUUAAAGGCCGCAGUAUUUUGACUGUGCAAAGGUAGCAUAAUAAUUAGUUUUUUAAUUGAAAGCUUGUAUGAAUGAUUUUAUGAGAAAAAUACUGUCUCUAUUUUAUUAGAUAAAAUUUUAAUUUUAAGUUAAAAUGCUUAAAUAAAAUUAAAAGACGAGAAGACCCUAUAGAGUUUUAUAUAUUUUUUUAAUUUAGGUAUUUUUUUUGUUUUUAUUAAAAAUAUAUAUUUAGUUGGGGUGAUUGAUAAGUUUAUUAAACCUUUUUUUAUUUAAAAACUAUUAUUUUAGAAUUUUUGAUCCUUUUUAAGAUUACAAGAUUAAAUUACCUUAGGGAUAACAGCGUUAUUUUUUUGGAGAGUUCAUAUCUAUAAAAAAGUUUG